rnacentral:rRNA from 1 species
AUGACUAGGGAUAACCUUAGGAAGAGACACAUCAUCAAACCCCUUGAUUGUGUUUACUUCUUGGAACAAGAGUCUUGUUCUUACCUAUUUUUUGAAUGUAUAGUUGCUAAACAUCUCUGGGCCCACAUUGAGGAAUAUUUCUCUAGUCAGAUUGGCUCAUCCUUCCAACCUGUCGCCAGAUUCUGGAUUGCUACCAAAAAGUGCUUAGUUUUAAACACUAAUAGCUCAGCUAUCCUUUGGUGCCUCUGGAAAUAUAGAAAUGCUAUGAUUUUCAGUAACACCUCCUGGAUUUCCAUUCCGCAGGUCUUGAGGUUGAUCAGGAACAUGGUGAGGAACUGGGCGAUUCUCUCCUCUGGAUCGGACAAGGACAAGUUGAUGAGCUUCGUGGAAACCCUAACAAGAUCCCUCCAGAAACCGUUGGCAAUCACUUGUGGCUGA